rnacentral:rRNA from 1 species
UGCAUAUCAAUAAGCGGAGGAAAAGAAACCAACAGGGAUUGCCUUAGUAACGGCGAGUGAAGCGGCAAAAGCUCAAAUUUGAAAUCUGGCACCUUCGGUGUCCGAGUUGUAAUUUGAAGAAGGUAACUUUGGAGUCAGCUCUUGUCUAUGUUCCUUGGAACAGGACGUCACAGAGGGUGAGAAUCCCGUGCGAUGAGAUGUCUGAUUCUAUGUAAAGUGCUUUCGAAGAGUCGAGUUGUUUGGGAAUGCAGCUCUAAGUGGGUGGUAAAUUCCAUCUAAAGCUAAAUAUUGGCGAGAGACCGAUAGCGAACAAGUACAGUGAUGGAAAGAUGAAAAGAACUUUGAAAAGAGAGUGAAAAAGUACGUGAAAUUGUUGAAAGGGAAGGGUUUGAGAUCAGACUUGGUAUUUUGUAUGUCUUGCUUUCGGGUGGGGCCUCUACAGUUUACUGGGCCAGCAUCGGUUUGGAUGGUAGGAUAAUGACAUUGGAAUGUGGCACCACUUCGGUGGUGUGUUAUAGACUUUGUUGAUACUGCCUGUCUAGACCGAGGACUGCGUC